rnacentral:tRNA from 1 species
UCCAAUAUGGUCUAGUGGCUAGGAUACCUGGCUUUCACACAGGAGGCUCGGGUUCGAUUCCCGGUAUCGGAA